UACAGAGGGUGCGAGCGUUAAUCGGAAUUACUGGGCGUAAAGCGUGCGUAGACGGUUAUUUAAGUCUGCUGUGAAAGCCCUGGGCUCAACCUGGGAACUGCAGUGGAUACUGGCGGACUAGAGUGUGAUAGAGGAUGGUGGAAUUCCCGGUGUAGCGGUGAAAUGCGUAGAGAUCGGGAGGAACACCAGUGGCGAAGGCGGCCAUCUGGAUCAACACUGACGCUGAGGCACGAAAGCGUGGGGAGCAAACAGGG
rnacentral:rRNA from 1 species